GGCGUGCGAGCCGCCUUGUCGGACCCCUGAGAAGCCCCCACCGCCUCCGUGCUCCUACUGCGGCCGCCAGCGCCGGGCCCGCAGUGAGGAGGAGAACCUCAUUUUCCUCAACACAGAUCUAAGGGGACACCGCCUCACUUUGAGACAACUUGAGGCUGCGUCAGUGCUCUUUCUCUUCAAACUUCUUUAACAUGCCUUGGCUUAGUUGUUCUGCUUGAUUUUCCAAAAGAAGAACCUUCUCUGGAUAAGGCAGAGGAUAGUGAAGGGAGGAUUUAACCUUGUACUGUUGUUAUACAAUUCAAUAUUGAAGCGAGAGAUUCUCCAGAACUUGCCCAGAAGCCAAGACGUCUGGAAAGGAUCUCAGCCUCUGUCAGCCUGCAGCUUGGGAAGAGUGAUUCACAGAGCCUGACUGUCCACUGCUGCUAAACCAUACACUGGCCUUGGCUCACACAUCUGACUGAACUGUCUCCUAUGACUAACUGCCUCUCUUUCUUCAGCCUUGCAAGUUUCCUGGGAGUCCUGGGAGUGGACUUCACAUAUAAAAGGGGACUCUGGGAGACCUAGUUCCUGGCUUCUCUUCUGGAAGUCAGGGAAGAGUAUAGGAAGGAGUGGCCACAGUGCCCAACUGACAAUUGACAAUUUCACCAAAGAUCAUCAUUGACCCUGACAAGACUCAUUUCGGUAUAUAAUAUGGGAAAAGAAACCAGACUGCAACAGGCUGAGAAUGACCCAGGGAAGAGAAAACGGAGAAAUUAACUGCAGCUGAGUUUCUGGAGGACUGCAAUUUAGUAUGUUCAAAGAAUAGUCCAAGAAGCCGCUCCGGACCCUCAGCAUUAAGACGAAGGAGGGGGCAAACAGGUGAGAAAAUCGAGGCAACAAGAGGUUGGUUAACGUGCCCAAGAUCAGAUCGCACAGCGGUAUAAUAGGAUGGAAAACUCCUAUCACAUAAUGAACGUUAAGUGAAAAAAAUUAGUAUCCAAAACUACAUACCCAGGAACGAUACUUUGCAUCUUUCAAUCUAAUCAAGUUGACAAUAUUAACCAUCACAGACACCCACACAGAGAAAAUGGCCACAUGAAGACAGAGAAAUGGACUGAUGCAUCUGCAAGCCAAGGAGUGCCAAAGACUGUCAGCAAACGACUUAAAGACAAGAAGAAGCAGUGAAAGAGCCUUCCCCUCCAGGUUGCAGAUGAAGCGCAACCCUGCUGACACCUUGAUUUUCAGACUUCCGGCCUCCAGAGCUGAGACAAUACAUUUGUGUUGCUCUAAGCCACCUAGUUUAUGGAACUUUGUUGGGUGGCCCUACAAACUAAUGCAGCCUAUGUAUGCCAAUGCCAGUUAUAUUUUUUAUUGUAAUUAUAUAAUUUAAGUAAAU
rnacentral:lncRNA from 1 species